CAUAGGUUAAUGAGGCGAACCGGGGGAACUGAAACAUCUAAGUACCCCGAGGAAAAGAAAUCAACCGAGAUUCCCCCAGUAGCGGCGAGCGAACGGGGAGCAGCCCAGAGCCUGAAUCAGUGUGUGUGUUAGUGGAAGCGUCUGGAAAGGCGCGCGAUACAGGGUGACAGCCCCGUACACAAAAAUGCACAUACUGUGAGCUCGAUGAGUAGGGCGGGACACGUGGUAUCCUGUCUGAAUAUGGGGGGACCAUCCUCCAAGGCUAAAUACUCCUGACUGACCGAUAGUGAACCAGUACCGUGAGGGAAAGGCGAAAAGAACCCCGGCGAGGGGAGUGAAAAAGAACCUGAAACCGUGUACGUACAAGCAGUGGGAGCACAGAGCAAUCUGUGUGACUGCGUACCUUUUGUAUAAUGGGUCAGCGACUUAUAUUCUGUAGCAAGGUUAACCGAAUAGGGGAGCCGAAGGGAAACCGAGUCUUAACUGGGCGUUAAGUUGCAGGGUAUAGACCCGAAACCCGGUGAUCUAGCCAUGGGCAGGUUGAAGGUUGGGUAACACUAACUGGAGGACCGAACCGACUAAUGUUGAAAAAUUAGCGGAUGACUUGUGGCUGGGGGUGAAAGGCCAAUCAAACCGGGAGAUAGCUGGUUCUCCCCGAAAGCUAUUUAGGUAGCGCCUCGUGAAUUCAUCUCCGGGGGUAGAGCACUGUUUCGGCAAGGGGGUCAUCCCGACUUACCAACCCGAUGCAAACUGCGAAUACCGGAGAAUGUUAUCACGGGAGACACACGGCGGGUGCUAACGUCCGUCGUGAAGAGGGAAACAACCCAGACCGCCAGCUAAGGUCCCAAAGUCAUGGUUAAGUGGGAAACGAUGUGGGAAGGCCCAGACAGCCAGGAUGUUGGCUUAGAAGCAGCCAUCAUUUAAAGAAAGCGUAAUA
rnacentral:rRNA from 1 species